GACACGCAUGGAGAGGUUCUGCGUUGCACUCCCUGUUUCAGCUUAGCAUGCUGCUUGGUUGGUCCAGGGAACAUUAUCAAGAGAGGAGCCAUCAGCGCCAAGCGUAACUGUAUUUCCAUUUGUUGCAAUAAAUGGUUCAAUCUACGACGAGAGUGUUCCUGACUGAAAUCCUUUUGGUGCUUUGAUCAACAAAACUAAACAGCUAACCACAGAAAUUUGUCACCAACAAUGCUGCCAACUCCCGGGGACAGAACCAUCAAACUGUUCUACUGCCUAUGAAUAAGUGCCUUUUUAAAGACCAUCUGAAGAUAAACGCUGACCCCGUGGAAACCCUGAACACGGACUCACAUUGGAGCCAGUGGGUCUGCCGUUUCAGAGGUAGGCGAGAUAGGGUCGUCAUCGUCACCGGUCCACUCCUCACUGUCAUCUGAGA